AGAGUUUGAUCAUGGCUCAGAGCGAACGCUAGCGGCGGGCUUCAAACAUGCAAGUCGAACGUGAAAGGUAGCAAUACCGAGUAGAGUGGCGCACGGGUGAGUAACACGUAGCUAACUUCCCCUCUCGCUGGGGAUAACUCCGGGAAACCGGAGCUAAUACCGAAUGAGCUUUAGGAGACUGCGGUCUCUUUGAGCAAAGCCUUCGGGCGCGAGAGGAUAGGGCUGCGGCCUAUUAACUAGUUGGUGGGGUAACGGCCUACCAAGGUGACGAUAGGUAGCUGGUCUGAGAGGACGAUCAGCCACACUGGAACUGACACACGGUCCAGACUCCCACGGGAGGCAGCAGUUGGGAAUAUUGGACAAUGGGGGCAACCCUGAUCCAGCCACGCCGCGUGAGUGAUGAAGGCCUUCGGGUCGUAAAGCUCUUUUGUUGGGGAAAAAGGGAAACUUGAUGGUACCCAAAGAAAAAGCACCGGCUAACUCCGUGCCAGCAGCCGCGGUAAUACGGAGGGUGCAAGCGUUGCUCGGAAUUAUUGGGCGUAAAGCGUAUGUAGGCGGUUUUCUAAGUCUGAUGUGAAAUCCCGGGGCUUAACUCCGGAACUGCAUUGGAUACUGGAAAGCUAGAGGACGAUAGAGGAUGGUGGAAUUCCUGGUGUAGGGGUGAAAUCCAGAUAUCAGGAGGAACAUCAGUGGCGAAGGCGGCCAUCUGGAUCGUACCUGACGCUGAGAUACGAAAGCGUGGGGAGCAAACAGGAUUAGAUACCCUAGUAGUCC
rnacentral:rRNA from 1 species